rnacentral:lncRNA from 1 species
GCUUCACAUAGGUGGGUCCGACCACCAUUAAUCAAGUAAGAACUGUCUUAUAAAUUAGGGAUAUUUUAGUUGAUGACACUUAUCUAGAUAGUUAGCUAACUAUAACUACAGAAACAGAUUAUGUCGUUUUGCUAUGUUUUUGGGAAAGUACAUUGUUGGCAUCCAUCAGCUAACGUUAGCUAGUUUAUUUACGACCAGCACUGUCCAGAACUUGGGGAAGUGUGUCUAGCCCAGACAAAACUUUACCAGUAUGAUAGCAUACGGCGAAUCGUUGUGACAUAUGAAAUACGAGUGAUAAUAUAAUCAAUGUGUAAUAACUACGUCAAAAAUGUAUGAACGUGUUCAAUUAUUAUGUGACGUGCAGUCAUAUUCGGGUCCUGACUGGUAAACAAGCUUAUUUGACGUGUAUCUUUUUUGACACGCAAAGACCCAAACUGAGUUCCAUAGUCUCGGGGCUCCUUCGACCUCAUGGAUUGGUUUUUACUCUGACAUGCACUGGCAAUAGUGGGACCUUACAUAGACAGGUGUGUGCCUUUCAAAAUCAUGUCCAAUCAAUUGAAUUUACCACAAAUGGACUCCAAUCAUGUUGUAGAAACAUCUCAAGGAUGAUCAAUGGAAACAGGACGCACUUGAGCUCAAUUUCGAGACUCAUAGCAAAAGGUGUGACAGAACCACCCACCACCGAAGGACCAAGCAGCGUGGAAGGGAGCAACAGGAGAAGUACUUGGAGUCGUGGACGUGGGAGGAGAUAUUAGACGGGAAAGGACCCUGGAGGCAGGCUGGGGAGUAUCGCGGACCGAAGGAGGAACUUGAGGCAGCGAAAGCAGAGCGGCGUUACUCUGAGGUGCUGUAUAAACCAAGAGGCAAGUGCGAGAGGCAUUCCCCCAAACAUUUUUGGGGGGCACACGGGGAGUUGGGCAGAGUCAGGGUGGAGUCCUGAGCCAACUCCCCGUGCUUACAGUGGGGAGCGGGUGACGAGGAAAGCACCGAGCUAUGCGGAAAUGCGCACUGUAUCGCCCACACGCACGCACAGUCCGGUGCGGUCAGUACGGGCUCCUCAGCGUUGCCGAGCGAGAGUUGGCUGGCAGCCAGGGAGAAGUGCGCCGGCACAACGUAUCUGGUCUCCAGUGCGUCUCCUCGGCCCAGCUUACCCUGUGCCUGCUCUACGCAUGGCAGCCCUCAUUCUCCAGCACAGCCCAGUUCGCCCUGUGCCAGUGCUUCGCAUUUGCCGGGCUACAGUAGCCAUUCAGCCAGGACGGGGUGUGCCAGGCCUGAGCUCCAGACCUCCGGUGCGCCUCCACGGCCCAGUGUGCCCCGUGCCUGCUCUGCGCACCCAGUCUCCUGUAAGUCUCCCCAGUCCGGGGAGACCGGUCCCAGCUCCACGCAGGAGGCCUCCAGUGACGCUCCUCAGCCUGGAGCCGCCAGAAACGCUCCUCAGCCCGGAGCCUCCAGCGACGCUCCUCAGCCCGGAGCCUCCAGCGACGCUCCCCAGUCAGGAGCCUCCAGCGACGCUUGUCAGCCCGGAGCCUCCAGCGACGCUCCCCAGUCAGGAGCCUCCAGCGACGCUUCUCAGCCCGGAGCUUCCAGCGACGCCUCUCAGCCCGGGGCCUCCAUCGACGCCGCUCAGCCCGGGGCCUCCAGCAACGGUCUGCAGUCC